rnacentral:rRNA from 1 species
UACGUAGGGUGCAAGCGUUGUCCGGAAUUAUUGGGCGUAAAGAGCUCGUAGGCGGUCUGUCGCGUCGGAUGUGAAAAUCCAGGGCUCAACCCUGGACCUGCAUUCGAUACGGGCAGACUAGAGUUCGGUAGGGGAGACUGGAAUUCCUGGUGUAGCGGUGAAAUGCGCAGAUAUCAGGAGGAACACCGGUGGCGAAGGCGGGUCUCUGGGCCGAGUACUGACGCUGAGGAGCGAAAGCGUGGGGAGCGAACAGG